rnacentral:lncRNA from 1 species
CUGAAGGUGUGGGAACCAAGGUCAGUGUGGGCUUCUCACUCAAAGUAGGUCAGCUAAUCUCUGAGGAGGACAUGCUUUCCUGCCUCCCACAGCCAGCGUCCCGGGAGAACUCCACCCUCAUUUUUCAAGGCCUCACGAUUAGCUACAGAAAGGAGCUUUUGCAGUUGGAUUCUGUUGGUUUGGUUUUCUGUUUUGAAAGAAGACUCAGUCUGCUGCUGAGAAUGACCUUGAACUUCUGACCCUCCCGCAUCUACCUCCCAAGAGCUAGGAUUACAGGCUUCUAGCAGAAGGCGUGGCCCAGAUUUAAGUCGGAUCUUCCCACCUCAAAAGAUCCAGAUUAAAGGUGAGUCUUUCCACUUCAAAUGAGUCAAUUAAAAAAAUCCCUCACAGGUGUACUGAGAUGUUACGAUAAAUCUUUCUGCCAGAAGCUGCCUGAGCCCUACCGCCAUGUGUGAGCUUUACACCAGCCGCCUGCCCGAGUUAGGCCCAAAUGAAUACACAGAAACUUGUAUUAGGUACAAUGCUGCUUGGCCAAUGACUGGGAUUCCUCAUCUGCUAGCUUAGUCUUAACUAUCAUAAAUC